AAUAGAUACCCAGGUAGUCCACGCCGUAAACGAUGAGUGCUAAGUGUUAGAGGGUUUCCGCCCUUUAGUGCUGCAGCUAACGCAUUAAGCACUCCGCCUGGGGAGUACGGUCGCAAGACUGAAACUCAAAGGAAUUGACGGGGGCCCGCACAAGCGGUGGAGCAUGUGGUUUAAUUCGAAGCNAACGCGAAGAACCUUACCAGGUCUUGACAUCCCACUGACCGGUAUAGAGAUAUACCUUUCCCUUCGGGGACAGUGGUGACAGGUGGUGCAUGGUUGUCGUCAGCUCGUGUCGUGAGAUGUUGGGUUAAGUCCCGCAACGAGCGCAACCCUUGAUCUUAGUUGCCAGCAUUUAGUUGGGCACUCUAAGGUGACUGCCGGUGACAAACCGGAGGAAGGUGGGGAUGACGUCAAAUCAUCAUGCCCCUUAUGACCUGGGCUACACACGUGCUACAAUGGAUGGUACAAAGGGCUGCAAGACUGCGAAGUCAAGCCAAUCCCAUAAAACCAUUCUCAGUUCGGAUUGCG
rnacentral:rRNA from 1 species